CCUACGGGGGGCAGCAGUGAGGAAUCUUCCACAAUGGGCGAAAGCCUGAUGGAGCAACGCCGCGUGAAGGAUGAAGGCCUUAGGGUUGUAAACUUCUUUUAUAAGUGAAGAAUAUGACGGUAACUUAUGAAUAAGCACCGGCUAACUACGUGCCAGCAGCCGCGGUCAUACGUAGGGUGCAAGCAUUAUCCGGAGUGACUGGGCGUAAAGAGUUGCGUAGGUGGUUUGUUAAGUGAAUAGUGAAAUCUGGGGGCUCAACCUCACAGACUAUUAUUCAAACUGGCAAACUCGAGAAUGGUAGAGGUAACUGGAAUUUCUUGUGUAGGAGUGAAAUCCGUAGAUAUAAGAAGGAACACCAAUGGCGUAGGCAGGUUACUGGACCAUUUCUGACACUGAGGCACGAAAGCGUGGGGAGCGAACCGGAUUAGAUAC
rnacentral:rRNA from 1 species